AUGUGGUGUAAUUCGAUGCAACGCGAAGAACCUUACCUACUCUUGACAUCCAGAGAACUUUCCAGAGAUGGAUUGGUGCCUUCGGGAACUGUGAGACAGGUGCUGCAUGGCUGUCGUCAGCUCGUGUUGUGAAAUGAUGGGUUAAGUCCCGCAACGAGCGCAACCCUUAUCCUUGUUUGCCAGCGAGUAAUGUCGGGAACUCCAGGGAGACUGCCGGUGAUAAACCGGAGGAAGGUGGGGACGACGUCAAGUCAUCAUGGCCCUUACGAGUAGGGCUACACACGUGCUACAAUGGCGCAUACAGAGGGCGGCCAACUUGCGAAAGUGAGCGAAUCCCAAAAAGUGCGUCGUAGUCCGGAUUGGAGUCUGCAACUCGACUCCAUGAAGUCGGAAUCGCUAGUAAUCGUGGAUCAGAAUGCCACGGUGAAUACGUUCCCGGGCCUUGUACACACCGCCCGUCACACCAUGGGAGUGGGCUGCAAAAGAAGUAGGUAGUUAAC
rnacentral:rRNA from 1 species